rnacentral:misc_RNA from 1 species
UUAACUAUUAUAUAGUACUCAGACAUCACUAAAAACAGAGUUGUGGUCCUCUGGCAGGCGCUCAAAAGCCGAAGCCUCUAGCGUAAACGCGGCCUGCCAAAGCAACAAAGGUAAUAUAUUCAAGGGUGGGAGAUCUACCCGUAAGGGCAUGAACUCUGUAAUGAUCCUUCCGCAGGUUCACCUACGGAAA